rnacentral:tRNA from 1 species
UCCUGGUUAGCUCAGUCGGUAGAGUGUUCCACUGGAGAUGGAGAGGUCCCUGGUUUAAUACCAGAACCCGGCG